GAUGAACGCUGGCGGCGUGCCUAAUACAUGCAAGUCGAGCGAACAGACGAGGAGCUUGCUCCUCUGACGUUAGCGGCGGACGGGUGAGUAACACGUGGAUAACCUACCUAUAAGACUGGGAUAACUUCGGGAAACCGGAGCUAAUACCGGAUAAUAUAUUGAACCGCAUGGUUCAAUAGUGAAAGACGGUUUUGCUGUCACUUAUAGAUGGAUCCGCGCCGCAUUAGCUAGUUGGUAAGGUAACGGCUUACCAAGGCAACGAUGCGUAGCCGACCUGAGAGGGUGAUCGGCCACACUGGAACUGAGACACGGUCCAGACUCCUACGGGAGGCAACAGUAGGGAAUCUUCCGCAAUGGGCGAAAGCCUGACGGAGCAACGCCGCGUGGGUGAUGAAGGUCUUCGGAUCGUAAAACUCUGUUAUUAGGGAAGAACAAAUGUGUAAGUAACUAUGCACGUCUUGACGGUACCUAAUCAGAAAGCCACGGCUAACUACGUG
rnacentral:rRNA from 1 species